CCUACGGGGGGCUGCAGUAACGAAUCUUCGGCAAUGGGCGCAAGCCUGACCGAGCGACGCCGCGUGCGGGAUGAAGGCCUUCGGGUUGUAAACCGCUGUCAGAGGGGAGGAAAUCCCUGGGGGCUCUCUCCCAGGGUUGACCUAUCCUUAGAGGAAGCACGGGCUAAGUUCGUGCCAGCAGCCGCGGUAAGACGAACCGUGCUAACGUUGUUCGGAAUCACUGGGCUUAAAGGGUGCGUAGGUGGCCGUGUAAGUCGGGUGUGAAAUGCCUCGGCUCAACCGAGGAACGGCGCCCGAUACUGCAUGGCUCGAGGGAGGUAGGGGCGCGUGGAACUUCCGGUGGAGCGGUGAUAUGCGUUGAUAUCGGAAGGAACGCCGGUGGCGAAAGCGACGCGCUGGACCUCUUCUGACGCUGAGGCACGAAAGCUAGGGGAGCAAAC
rnacentral:rRNA from 1 species